rnacentral:rRNA from 1 species
AACGAACGCUGGCGGCAUGCCUAACACAUGCAAGUCGAACGAGACCUUUGGGUCUAGUGGCGCACGGGUGCGUAACGCGUGGGAAUCUGCCCUUGGGUUCGGAAUAACAGUGAGAAAUUGCUGCUAAUACCGGAUGAUGUCUUCGGACCAAAGAUUUAUCGCCCAGGGAUGAGCCCGCGUAGGAUUAGCUAGUUGGUGGGGUAAUGGCCUACCAAGGCGACGAUCCUUAGCUGGUCUGAGAGGAUGAUCAGCCACACUGGGACUGAGACACGGCCCAGACUCCUACGGGAAGCAGCAGUGGGGAAUAUUGGACAAUGGGCGCAAGCCUGAUCCAGCAAUGCCGCGUGAGUGAUGAAGGCCUUAGGGUUGUAAAGCUCUUUUACCAGGGAUGAUAAUGACAGUACCUGGAGAAUAAGCUCCGGCUAACUCCGUG